AUGUGCUUGUCCUCGGGACACAUAAGGAAUGAAUCCAGGCCUCAGUCCUGGCCUCCUCCCCAAGGCUGGGUGCUCAGGCGUCCCCUUCAGCCCCUUUCUCUAGACCUUCCGGCUGAACAAACGAAAACAUCUCACAGCCCUGCAACAGCCAGGAGCUGCUCGUGGAGCUCCACGCCCGGCUGGAGAGAGAGGAGGCGCCCUGGGCAGCCCGCCAGCACCCGGGCUCUCACAGCGGAAGCCCACGUCUUCUUGGGCUCUAUUUUGAAAGCUGUUCUUUCCACGAUGGCUUUGACAAGAAUCGAUUUGAGUGAGCCGGCGUGUCAAUACAGGCCAGCACAGGACUGGCCUCAGGGCCACAUUGGGGAGGGUGGCGACCAGGCCCUGGCUGCAGCCCACGUGGGCAAAAGCAUGGCCAGGCAGGAGGUGGGGCCUGUGAGCUUGGCUACAGCGACCGUAGGCGCUGGGCCCGGGGCUCCUCAGCCCUGAGGGGGGACCCAGGCCCAGGCAGGCUCCCAGGCGGGCUCCCGGGCUCCCAGCCUUCCGAUCUUCUACCUUUGAGACCUUGCCUUCUGCACAGUGACAGGAAAGAGCCCUGAGUUCCACUUUGCAGGGAUGUAUUGCAUUUCCAGAAAGUUCCUUCCGGGUGCAGAGUGAUACGUGAACCCUGGGGACUCGCUCCAACUUGGUAUUGAUUUUCUCCACGGAGGACCCAGCAGUCACGGCCCGUGUCUGCACAGCCCCUUGGAUCCUGCGGAGGAAUUCAGCCGGCCCCUCCCCCUGUGCCGAAAACCACGGAGGCAAAGCCAGGCCAG